rnacentral:rRNA from 1 species
UACGAAGGGUGCAAGCGUUAAUCGGAAUUACUGGGCGUAAAGCGUGCGUAGGUGGUUGUUCAAGUCUGUCGUGAAAGCCCUGGGCUCAACCUGGGAAUGGCGAUGGAAACUGGGCGACUGGAGUGCGGUAGAGGAUGGCGGAAUUCCCGGUGUAGCGGUGAAAUGCGUAGAGAUCGGGAGGAACAUCCGUGGCGAAGGCGGCCAUCUGGACCAGCACUGACACUGAGGCACGAAAGCGUGGGGAGCAAACAGG